rnacentral:rRNA from 1 species
CUCCGGUUGAUCCCGCCGGACCUGACUGCUAUCGGAUUGGUACUAAGCCAUGCGAGUCGUUGUAGCAAUACAAGGCGGACGGCUCAGUAACACGUAGUCAACCUAACCUAUGGACGUGGAUAACCUCGGGAAACUGAGAAUAAACCGCGAUAGAUCAUUAUGCCUGGAAUGGCUUAUGGUUCAAACAAUUUAUUGCCGUAGGAUGGGACUGCGGCCUAUCAGCUUGUUGGUGAGGUAAUGGCCCACCAAGGCUAUAACAGGUACGGGCUCUGAGAGGAGAAGCCCGGAGAUGGGUACUGAGACACGGACCCAGGCCCUAUGGGGCGCAGCAGGCGAGAAACCUUAGCAAUGUGCGAAAGCACGACUAGGUUAAUCCGAGUGAUUUCUGUUGAAGAAAUCUUUUGUCAGUCAUAAAACCACAGACGAAUAAGGGGUGGGCAAGUCUGGUGUCAGCCGCCGCGGUAAUACCAGCACCUCGAGUGGUCAGGAGGUUUAUUGGGCCUAAAGCAUCCGUAGCCGGCUACGCAAGUCUCCGGUUAAAUCCAGCUGCUCAACAGAUGGGCUGCCGGAGAUACUACAUAGCUAGGGAGCGGGAGAGGCAGACGGUAUUCUGUGGGUAGGGGUAAAAUCCUUUGAUCCAUAGAGGACCACCAGUGGCGAAGGCGGUCUGCCAGAACGCGUUCGACGGUGAGGGAUGAAAGCUGGGGGAGCAAACCGGAUUAGAUACCCGGGUAGUCCCAGCUGUAAACGAUGCAAACUCGGUGAUGCAUUGGCUUAUGGCCAAUGCAGUGCCGCAGGGAAGCCGUUAAGUUUGCCGCCUGGGAAGUACGGACGCAAGUCCGAAACUUAAAGGAAUUGGCGGGGGAGCA